rnacentral:misc_RNA from 1 species
UCCGGUUUGUCACCGGCAGUCUCACUAGAGUGCCCAACUAAAUGUAGCAACUAAUGACAAGGGUUGCGCUCGUUGCGGGACUUAACCCAACAUCUCACGACACGAGCUGACGACAGCCAUGCAGCACCUGUGUUCAGAUUCCUUGCGGCACUCCCUCAUCUCUGAAGGAUUUCUGACAUGUCAAGUGUAGGUAAGGUUUUUCGCGUUGCAUCGAAUUAAACCACAUCAUCCACCGCUUGUGCGGGUCCCCGUCAAUUCCUUUGAGUUUUAAUCUUGCGACCGUACUCCCCAGGCGGUCGACUUCACGCGUUAGCUUCGUUACUAAGUGGUUACCCACCCAACAACCAGUCGACAUCGUUUAGGGCGUGGACUAC